GAGGGUAUAGCUCAGUGGCAGAGCACGUGUUAAGCACACACAAGGUCCUGGGUUCAAUCCCCAGUACCUCCA
rnacentral:tRNA from 1 species